rfam:Gossypium arboreum cultivar AKA8401 contig_5262_1, whole genome shotgun sequence.
UAUUAAAAAUUUCAUCAAUUUCUACUUUUAAAAGUUGACAUGGCUAUCAGAAUAACCAAAUAGUUACACCCACGUGUACCUCAUAUUGACGUAUAGAGAUCAGUUUUUAAUAGUAGACAUGGAUAAAAUUUUUAACA